UACGUAGGGACCGAGCGUUGUCCGGAAUCAUUGGGCGUAAAGAGCGUGUAGGCGGCCUGCUAAGUCCUGCGUGAAAUCUCGGGGCUCAACCCCGAAACUGCAUUCCAUACUGCGGUGCUUGAGGACUGGAGAGGAGACUGGAAUUUACGGUGUAGCGGUGAAAUGCGUAGAUAUCGUAAGGAAGACCAGUGGCGAAGGCGGGUCUCUGGACAGUUCCUGACGCUGAGGCACGAAGGCCAGGGGAGCAAACGGG
rnacentral:rRNA from 1 species